rnacentral:misc_RNA from 1 species
GGGAUCUCGAACUGGAAUCAAAGGUCCUGGAAUCUUGAGUUCGAGUCAUCACGGUGGUGGAACCUCUGAACGAAACUCAUCUAUCCUGCUCCCAGGCUGCAGCUUGCAAAAGUCCGGGACUAAUAUCGUGGAGCACGAAGCCUCUAUCCCUUCAAGUCGACGUGGCCUUACAUCUGCUAAUCGGCAGAUGACAAUAUUUUAUGGUGGCCAAGCUCAUGUCUUCGAUGACGUUCAUCCAAACAAGGCAGACGUUAUAAUGGCC